rfam:Schistosoma mattheei strain Denwood, Zambia genome assembly, scaffold: SMTD_scaffold0012644
AUCCAGAUGACGAGUCGAAAAAAGGACGAAACGUGUGUCUUGAAU